GGCCGGUUAGCUCAGCUGGUUAGAGUGUGGUGCUAUUAUCGACAAGGUUGCAGGUUCGAUCCUCGUACUGGCUG
rnacentral:tRNA from 1 species